rnacentral:rRNA from 1 species
GACGAACGCUGGCGGCGUGCUUAACACAUGCAAGUCGAGCGGAGCGGCGAACGGGUGAGUAACGCGUGAGUAACUGCCCCCCUCUCUGGGAUAACAGUUGGAAACGGCUGCUAAUACCGGAUAGUGGGGGAUGACUCGCGUCCUAUCAGCUUGUUGGGGGGGUAGUGGCCUACCGCGGCGACGACGGGUAGCCGGCCUGGGAGGGCGACCAGCCACAUUGGGCUGAGAUACGGCGCAAUCGCCUACGGGAGGCAGCGGGGGGGAAUAUUGCACAAUGGGGGAAACCCUGAUGCAGCAGCGCCGCGGUCGGGAUGACGGCCUUCGGGGUGUAAACCGCUUUCAGCCAUGACGCGGUAGUGGCAGAAGAAGCACCGGCUAACUACGUGCCAGCAGCCGCGGUAAUAC